rnacentral:SRP_RNA from 1 species
GGAAUCCGGUCAGACCAUCAUGAA